rnacentral:rRNA from 1 species
AAGUCGAGCGGGGAAAGGUAGCUUGCUACUGGACCUAGCGGCGGACGGGUGAGUAAUGCUUAGGAAUCUGCCUAUUAGUGGGGGACAACAUUCCGAAAGGAAUGCUAAUACCGCAUACGUCCUACGGGAGAAAGCAGGGGACCUUCGGGCCUUGCGCUAAUAGAUGAGCCUAAGUCGGAUUAGCUAGUUGGUGGGGUAAAGGCCUACCAAGGCGACGAUCUGUAGCUGGUCUGAGAGGAUGAUCCGCCACACUGGGACUGAGACACGGCCCAGACUCCUACGGGAGGCAGCAGUGGGGAAUAUUGGACAAUGGGGGGAACCCUGAUCCAGCCAUGCCGCGUGUGUGAAGAAGGCCUUAUGGUUGUAAAGCACUUUAAGCGAGGAGGAGGCUACUAGUAUUAAUACUACUGGAUAGUGGACGUUACUCGCAGAAUAAGCACCGGCUAACUCUGUGCCAGCAGCCGCGGUAA